GGGGAAUUUUGGACAAUGGGGGCAACCCUGAUCCAGCCAUCCCGCGUGUGCGAUGAAGGCCUUCGGGUUGUAAAGCACUUUUGGCAGGGAAGAAACAGCCUGGGCUAAUAUCCCGGGCGACUGACGGUACCUGCAGAAUAAGCACCGGCUAACUACGUGCCAGCCGCCGCGGUAAUACGUAGGGUGCAAGCGUUAAUCGGAAUUACUGGGCGUAAAGCGUGCGCAGGCGGUUCGGAAAGAAAGGUGUGAAAUCCCAGGGCUUAACCUUGGAACUGCACUUUUAACUACCGGGCUAGAGUACGUCAGAGGGGGGUAGAAUUCCACGUGUAGCAGUGAAAUGCGUAGAGAUGUGGAGGAAUACCGAUGGCGAAGGCAGCCCCCUGGGAUGAUACUGACGCUCAUGCACGAAAGCGUGGGGAGCAAACA
rnacentral:rRNA from 1 species